UUUCCGUAGGUGAACCUGCGGAGGGAUCAUUAUUGUGUAACCGAGGUGCGAGGGCUGUCGCUGACCCGAAAGGUCGUGCACGCCCGAGUGCCCUCACUCACAUCCAUCUCACCCCUAUGUGCACCACCGCGUGGGUCCCCCUUUGGCUCGUUCGGAGGGGGGCUUACGUUUUCACACAAACUUUGUAUGCAGUGUAGAAUGUAUUUUUUGUUUUUGCGAUCACGCAAUCAAUACAACUUUCAACAACGGAUCUCUUGGCUCUC
rnacentral:misc_RNA from 1 species